CCUCUAGCCAUCCAUACUGCAGCCUGUCCAAGCCAUAUUCAUUGGCCUUGUCCUGGCUCUGCUGUACUGGUGUUUCGGCCAGUUGUGGUAGAAAGAGCGGCUGGAGCCCCUGGAUGCCGGUCAUCGCAGUGAUGGUCGCCGUGACGGCAGCCGUCCUCUACCCCAACUUCUCCAAGAGCAGCUCCACCUAGAACACACACACUCACACACACUCACAGAAACAGAGAGCGCUGUGAGGAGAGCAUCACUGCUUUACUUGUAUAAAGUCUAAUUGUACAUAAUUGUAGAGGGAUUAUAAAGGUUGUGGUUUCUACAGAGGAUUCAGAAGCUUCUCGGUUUAUUUUGUUUUUGUGUUGUUGUUGUUUUCUGCGGCGGGGAGUUUUGUUGUCGUUUUUAUUCUCGGCUCUCUCAGCUGUGGUGGGGGCUUCCUCUGUUGGUUUCUCUGCUGAUUUCUGGGUUAAUAAAGCGUUCUCCAGCAGGCCGGCUUCCACACAGAAACCCUGCCAGAGGUGGCGCUCACAUCCCCGGGAUGCAAGCGAACGCAACACUUUCCAGCAGAGAUAUUUGGUGCCAGGCUACCACAAAUAUGCAAAUUGGCUAUUUUAAUUCCAAAAACAUUGCUCAUCCUUUCCUUUUUUUGUCAGGGAAGAAAAAAUGAUAAAUAAUGCGUUACAAACUUGGCAACGGAGGUUAUCAUUUUAUUAAAUGCUUAUUUGUUUCUGAACAUGCACUGCUAAAGCUCAGUAAAAACAAAAUGUCUGAUAUAUAAUGUGUUUUCUACCUAUUCUCCUGAGGCUCUGUAUAAAAGGAGUACAAAUCAAGUUUUAACAACUUUAAUAUUCCUCGUAAUGUUCUGUGGACAUUGUGCAUAUUCUUGAACAAAUCAGUGUUUGAUCAAAUUCUAACUCACGAGGGGCAUACUGUACUGUCUUAUUUGCUCCAGACCUAGCUAUUGUUCUUUUUGCUCUGUUUUAUUAAUACGGCCCCAAAUACAGUGUAACUACGCAGUACAUCUACAUCAAAUUGAACCGUCCGACUUUAAUAAAAAGACACAUUUAAAAAAAGUAAAUUCCUAUCAAUAAAAUGUCAGAAUUAAUAUUUAGAAAAGAGUGUCAUUUUCCCUGAACAUGAUUUGUCUGCUGGAAAGUGCUCGCGAUGUUUUCAGGAAGUCCGACUCUGCUCUGUUCCGGUUUAAGGCAGCCGUGUUAACAUGGACUUUUUAAUAUUUUUUGUCUUUACUUUUCUUUGGGAGUUUCAGGGUGGGGGGUUAAAACUUGAAGCCAAAUUAUUAAAAUAAAAAUUUAUGUUUUUUUCAUUCUUGUGGCACAGAAACGGGGCUUAAAGUGCCUCUGAUGUAACUUACACCACCGUUUGUGUAUGUGUGCGGACAAACGCAACCACACACUUUCUCGACACACACACACACACACACACACACUUGUUUUUUGACUGCCAGAGGUCUGUCAGUGUUUCGAGAGGAGAGAAGCUGAAGUUGCUAAUCCACAAUAUUUCAUCCGCUUCUACCUGAGCUUUCUCCGGGUGAAGGAGCCUGUAACGUGGUGGUUAAAGCUCAUAAACAAAUCUUGUAAAUUGACAUUCAUUUUAGAUUAUUUCAUCAAACUAUUGUGGAUUUAGCCCAACGAUUCCCGUCAACUGAAA